CAUGAUGAGACUACAUUGGUCUUGGAUUGUAUAGAGGGUAGUCGCGGUCGCCCCAACUCCGACUCUUGCAUAGUAUACUGUGCUAGAGUAAGGUGAGAAACAACUUUGGUUGGAAACUUUAAUUUUGUUAAGAAAUUAAAGAACCGU
rnacentral:ncRNA from 1 species